rnacentral:misc_RNA from 1 species
GAUGAAGAACGCAGCGAAAUGCGAUAAGUAAUGUGAAUUGCAGAAUUCAGUGAACCAUCGAAUCUUUGAACGCACAUUGCGCCCCCUGGUAUUCCGGGGGGCAUGCCUGUCCGAGCGUCAUUGCUGCCCUCAAGCACGGCUUGUGUGUUGGGCCCCGUCCUCCGAUUCCGGGGGACGGGCCCGAAAGGCAGCGGCGGCACCGCGUCCGGUCCUCGAGCGUAUGGGGCUUUGUCACCCGCUCUGUAGGCCCGGCCGGCGCUUGCCGAUCAACCCAAAUUUUUAUCCAGGUUGACCUCGGAUCAGGUAGGGAUACCCGCUGAACUUAAGCAUAUCAAUAAGCGGAGGA